rnacentral:rRNA from 1 species
UACGUAGGAGACGAGCGUUGUCCGGAGUUACUGGGCGUAAAGCGCACGUAGGCGGCUUUGUAAGUUAGAGGUGAAAGCCCGGGGCUCAACUCCGGAAUUGCCUUUAAGACUGCAUCGCUAGAAUUGUGGAGAGGUAAGUGGAAUUCCGAGUGUAGAGGUGAAAUUCGUAGAUAUUCGGAAGAACACCAGUGGCGAAGGCGACUUACUGGACACAUAUUGACGCUGAGGUGCGAAAAGCGUGGGGAGCAAACAGG